AGAUUUAAGAGUUAGGUUUCUUGAGAAAGUGUGAUAUUGCUGAUAAUUGUUUUUUUUUUUUUUCUUUUUCUUUUCAGACUCCAGAAGACUGUAUCUGCUAGGACAGGCUAUAGUUGGCUGGGAGCUGCCUCCAUGUCACUGCUGUUCACACUCAGGGACUCAGGCCCAUAGAGCAGCUGCCAUUUAAGACCCUUGUGAGUAGCAAUGAUAGAAAGCAAGCAUGAUGAAGCAUAUGUUGUCUCUUAAAACUUCCAUCCUAGAAGGGACACAUGUCACUUCUGCUCACACUUUGGCAGCCCAAGAAGUAACAUGGUCAAGGUUGACAUCGGGGAUUCAAAGAAGCACAUUUCUCCAGCAGGAUGGGGGCAAUGAAUACUGGCGAACAGAAAUGUGGUCACUACAAGGACACAGGAAAGAACCAAGUCCAUGGUGAUGGCCCCUGAGACCUAGACCCAUAGCAUUAUAGUCAUAAUGAAAUAUACAAUUAAAGGCUUC